rnacentral:rRNA from 1 species
GACGAACGCUGGCGGCGUGCUUAACACAUGCAAGUCGAACGGAAAGGCCCUGCUUUUGUGGGGUGCUCGAGUGGCGAACGGGUGAGUAACACGUGAGUAACCUGCCCUUGACUUUGGGAUAACUUCAGGAAACUGGGGCUAAUACCGGAUAGGAGCUCCUGCUGCAUGGUGGGGGUUGGAAAGUUUCGGCGGUUGGGGAUGGACUCGCGGCUUAUCAGCUUGUUGGUGGGGUAGUGGCUUACCAAGGCCUUGACGGGUAGCCGGCCUGAGAGGGUGACCGGCCACAUUGGGACUGAGAUACGGCCCAGACUCCUACGGGAGGCAGCAGUGGGGAAUAUUGCACAAUGGGCGGAAGCCUGAUGCAGCGACGCCGCGUGCGGGAUGACGGCCUUCGGGUUGUAAACCGCUUUCGCCUGUGACGAAGCGUGAGUGACGGUAAUGGGUAAAGAAGCACCGGCUAACUACGUG